CCUCGACACUUUCGAUCAGGGGAACCGAAGCAAUCACUGAGGCGAUAUUGUUUUCCCCUUUUGAGAUUCCCGCCCCAGAGAAGCCUCUGCUAGGGCGUGCGUUUCUAAACAGGGGCUGGAAUAAAAGAGUCAGGAGUCUGUGGACCUGAAACAAAAACUAGCUUUGGCUGCCCGCGGGAGCGCUUAAACUGCCGCUCAGUGUGGAGGUGAAACCGCAGCCAGGCGCGCCAGGAAAAGGCGGGUCUAGCCUUCUGAUCGAAGCAGUAGAAGCCACCCCUGAGCGCCUUCAAACGCCCUCCUUGGCCGGUCCUUGAGAAGUUCGCCAGUUUAUCUGACUGUCCAGGAGACGCAUCCUAGGCGCAAAUGCAUGUAUUGUAAUUAAAAGAAUAAUUAUACCAUGGCUACAGGAGACUUAAAAGGAAACUUGCAUAAGAUAGAACAAAAACUUCGGGUUAUAAAUUAUCCUAGCGAUGUGGAUUAUAUGGGAUUGGCAAAGGGUGAUCCAUCUGUGUUUUUACCAAUCAUUAGCUACUGUUUCACAUCAUUCUCAACAUAUAUUGCAGAACUUGUAAUGGAAUCAGGGAUGGAACUUACAGCAAAGAAUGAUUCACGUUUUGUUGAUGCCACGUAUAAGCUUCUUCGUGAUCAAUUUCAGUAUAAACCAAUCUUGUCAAAACAACAGUUCCUUCAAUAUGGCUUUGCAGAAAGAAAAAUACAGAUUGUUUGUGAUAUUAUUAGUUACAUUUAUAAAAGGCACAAAGAAUUCAGUAACGUGAAUAAGAUAAAAUCCCAAACAGAAAAGAGAACCCAUUUGGUUAAAUCUCUAUCCCACACAAGUUUUUCUAAUCAGUCUGUUACUGUAGCUAUCAAUACUGUGGAUUUGCAGCAGAAACCUCAAAUAGAACGUCAUAAAAAUGUAACUAACAUGCAUAUCCCUGAAGAUUUCAUCAGUGAAUCACUGCAGGAAGUGAAAGAUUAUGUUGUCAAUAAGGUUGAGGUUUUGGACUAUGACACUGAUGUCUUGGAUAAUACAGAUGUGCAGGUUGUAAAGAAGGAUAAUGAAUUAGAAGACUUAAAAAGUCAACUUGCUGAACUGCAGCAAAAGUUUCAUUUAUUGAGUAAUGUGGACCAAAGGUUAGAGACUUUAGAGAAGAAACUACAAGGGAAAAUUGUUAUAGAAGAGAAUGAGUGGAAUAAUCUUUUGAGCCGUGUCCUCCUUCUUGAAACACAACUGUUGCUUCAUUCCAAAACAGCUGAUUUAUAUACAGAAUUAAAUAAUGUGAGUGAAGAAGAUUCUUCUAGCAGAAACACGAUUCCAUCUUCUUGUGAUAAAGAGAAAGUAGAAUUGCCAGACAGUCCUCAUCAGUCAUCUGGAUAUAGUUCAUUGUUAUCUGCAGAUCCAUCUCCCAAAGCCCUGGCUGUUAGUGAUGAUGUGUCAGAGGUUUCAAAAGAAACAACAAUCCAAAAAAUGGAAAGAAUAAACAAAAUGGUUGAGGAAACUUCGGAAUUGUUGAAGAUUUCACGUAACACCUCUUCAGAGUAUUCUGUUCAGCCAGAGCACUGAAAAUUCCAGAGGCAUUUUGAUAUCUGCCAACUAACUACAGAUGAGCUCCGCACCUUUCAAACUGCCAAGAUCACCUGCCCAGUGACAGCUGCCUCCUUCUCUUCCACCAACUCUCCCAUGCCUUUUGCCAUGACUGGGCGGCACAAGCCUCUUCUGCCGCAUCCCUCUACUAGCCCUCCGUCAUCACCACUGGAGAGAAUGGAGAACGCAGAGGGAAGCAGCUCAACACAUUGAUGCAGAGCAGAGAAGAGCACUUGCUUGCCACCCUACAUCGCCCCACGUCUCCCUUCUCCGUUCUGGAAAUGGCAGCCCUGUUUUCUGCUGGUUCUCCUCCUGGCACUGCUGUAGAGUUUGGUGCAGCUCCUCUCUCUUCCCGAAAGCAUUUCUUCACUAACCUGCUUUCCAGUUCUGUUUUCCAGUAUGAACUAAGACAGAGGCCUAUUUAUAAUCACAUCCUAAUGCACAAGAUUGUAAAAUGGGGCAAAACUCACUCAACAACUGUCUUGCUUAGCAACAGAAAUUUUGGGCUCAAUUGUGGUUGUAAAUCAAGGACUACCUGUAUUUCCUCCUUAAUAUCUUCAUUUAAGUAUUAUAAACAUUAUUACGAUUGUUCUUAAUAGUAUUAUUAACAAUUGUUUUAAAAUUAUGAUCUAUGUAUUUCCUUUUCAUCUGCUUGCAGUUAUUUAUUUAUCCAAUUUAUAUAGCCACCUCUCCAUCCCUAAAGGGAACUAUAUAUUUAUCUAUAAAUAUAUUUAUAGAUAAAAAUGUAGAUAUAUUUACAGCUUCCUGGUACAGCUUCCUCUAGUUUAUUAAAAGGAAGAAGAAAGCAAAUACUUCCACUAAACAUGUUAGCCAUAUUUUGCAAGUAGUACUAUAUUGCAGGUCUUUGACUUGGAAAGGAAGUCUUAGACAAAUAGGUGGCGUAGUGACAUUUAUCAUGAUUGUUGCUGAUAUGGUGUUUAUCUAAUGUAAUGUUAAUUAUAUUAUUUACACUUUGAAGUUAUUUCUGGUAUUUAUUCCUAGCACAAAAGAAGAAGAUAUGUAUAUUGGACUCUGAAGGAAAAUUUAAAGCACUCAUCAUAACUAGAUGUUGGGGGUGGUAGAAGAGGGAGGUCUUCUAGCUGCAGUCAGAAAUUUAAUAAAGCAAAAAUAAAAUAAUGCCAGGUUAGCACCAACAGUUUUGUUAAAGAAAUACUUUAUCAUUCAUUUUAGUUUUAAAGAACAUAUUAAACUAAAGCAAGUGUGAACUUAGGAUGAAUGCUUUUGAUUAGAAUCCAGAUGCAUGGAUUCUAUUUUAAUCAUAAAAUUAAUUUUAUGUUAUGCUUAUUGUAUGUUCAAUCAAUCUUAUUAAGCCAAUUUGGUGUAAAACUUAAGGCACCAAGCAAGAUACAUGGACACAGUGAGUUCUAGACCCUUCUUAAACAAAAAGCCAGCUGAGUGACCUUGGGCUAUUCACUCGGUGUCAGCUCUGUAUAGAAAGAAGGAAAUGCCAAACCACUUUUGAAAAUGUUGCAAGAAACCUUCAGAGACAUAUCUAGGCACUUGCCAGGAUCAAGACUGACACCGAGGCAUUCUCUGUCUCUUCCUCAGUCUCCAUUUUUCUCUCUCUUUCUCUCUCUCUC